rnacentral:misc_RNA from 1 species
GAUGAAGAACGCAGCGAAAUGCGAUAAGUAAUGUGAAUUGCAGAAUUCAGUGAAUCAUCGAAUCUUUGAACGCACAUUGCGCCCCUUGGUAUUCCGAGGGGCAUGCCUGUUCGAGCGUCAUUAUAACCCCUCAAGCUCAGCUUGGUGUUGGGGCCUGCUGCACUGGCAGCCCUUAAAAUCAGUGGCGGCGCCAUCUGGCUCUAAGCGUAGUAAUUCUUCUCGCUAUGGAGUCCUGGUGGAUGCUUGCCAUCAACCCCCAAUUUUUCUAUGGUUGACCUCGGAUCAGGUAGGGAUACCCGCUGAACUUAAGCAUAUCAAUAAGCGGAUGA